rnacentral:rRNA from 1 species
GAUGAACGCUAGCGGGAGGCUUAACACAUGCAAGUCGAGGGGCAGCACGAGGUAGCAAUACUUUGGUGGCGACCGGCGCACGGGUGAGUAACGCGUAUGCAACCUACCCUGUACAGGGGGAUAGCCCGGAGAAAUUCGGAUUAAUACCCCAUAACGAUAUGAAGAGGCAUCUUUUUAUAUUUAAAGUUUCGACGGUACGGGAUGGGCAUGCGUGACAUUAGCUAGUUGGUAGGGUAACGGCCUACCAAGGCUUCGAUGUCUAGGGGUCCUGAGAGGGCGAUCCCCCACACUGGUACUGAGACACGGACCAGACUCCUACGGGAGGCAGCAGUGAGGAAUAUUGGUCAAUGGGCGUAAGCCUGAACCAGCCAUCCCGCGUGCAGGAAGACGGCGCUAUGCGUUGUAAACUGCUUUUCCAGAGGAAGAAAACCCCCGACGUGUCGGGGCUUGCCGGUACUCUGGGAAUAAGCAUCGGCUAACUCCGUGCCAGCAGCCGCGGUAAUACGGAGGAUGCAAGCGUUAUCCGGAUUUAUUGGGUUUAAAGGGUGCGUAGGCGGAUUAAUAAGUCAGUGGUGAAAACCUGCAGCUUAACUGUAGAACUGCCAUUGAUACUGUUAGUCUUGAGUACGGUCAAGGUAGGCGGAAUGUGUAAUGUAGCGGUGAAAUGCUUAGAUAUUACACAGAACACCGAUUGCGAAGGCAGCUUACUGGGCCAUUACUGACGCUGAGGCACGAAAGCGUGGGGAGCGAACAGGAUUAGAUACCCUGGUAGUCCACGCCGUAAACGAUGAUCACUCGCUGUUGGCGAUACACAGUCAGCGGCUAAGCAAAAGCAUUAAGUGAUCCACCUGGGGAGUACGGCCGCAAGGCUG